GCUAGAGCCCCAUAGAGACAUUAAGGAGGAGCUUGUUCCUUAGAUCCAAGACUGUCCCCAGAGUCAGUGGGAGGGGAUGGUCAGGCAUUGGAGGAGCCAAGACUUUCAAAUGUAAUUUGUAACUUAUGAAUUUUUUGUUGUACUGAUAAUUAUAUUUGAUUUUAACUUAUAUGAUUUAAAUAUUUUUUAGACUGCAUCUCAUCAGAACUAGGAGAAUUGGGU
rnacentral:lncRNA from 1 species